AGCUCUCUGACUUUCUUUCCCUCUUGUUGAGACACCAUUUGUUUUUUUCAGCCACCUUUAUUUUUGCAAAGCCCACUCUUUCCAGGAGAGGCCAAAGCCUCCUAAACGGGCCCUGAGAGUGGCUGUCCAGCCAUAGCAGGGGACCAGAGUUCCUGGCCUCUGGCAGGAAUACAACUCAGAAGCUGAAGCUGCCAGUCACUUCCACGGGGGCCUGUCGGAACACUGCACUUUCAGGUGGAGAAAGCAAAUCCAACUUUCUGUCUCUGCUUCAUUCUUGGGGGAAAAAAAAAAUCUGGUAUUCACCCUGGGGUACUUCAAGAAGUCUGAAUGGAUACAGUGCUAUGGAAAUGCUAACUCUACCAUGGGGUAAACUGUCACCUGGCACUUUAAAGGAAGACAUUGUUCCAAAAUGCCACCUUUAACCUCCAUUGGCAAUUUUGACUAUUUGUUGUCCUCAGAAAUGAAAACACAUCUGUGAAGG